CUACAUCUUUUCUCUCUCUUAGCUUAGCCUUCUCCUAUUCUGGACCUCUGUCCCUUCCUCUUGAUUAGGGUUCUAAUUAUGUUAUGAACCUUCCAUGCUUUUAUUUUUCUUUUAAAAAAAGAAUAAAGAAAACCCUACAUAUGGGUUUGUGGGGUAUAUUCAGUCUUCAAUAUCAUGGCUCUCUUUGUAUUCUUCCACAGCUUUCUUGAACUGCAUCCAAAGAGUUCCUUUGCAUGCAUGCCAUGGCACUCUUACUCCCAAAUCUUGUUUUGCGGUUCAAUAAAGCUGUGGGAAGAUACAGAUAGGGUCAACAACGGACUAGCUUAUCUCAAACUCCAGAUUCUUCUCUAAAUCUUCCUAUCCAAUUAUAUAUAGGGAUAAAAUUAUUGCAAAGUAUUUUUUUUCCUUUUUCUUUUGUGAUUUGACUUAAUUUAAAUCAUUUUCAGAUUUAAACCAUCGACUUUUCAGAUAUAUCUCUAUAUGUGAUCAGAAUUCUCAGAUGCAGUAUUAUGAGAGAAUAAACUUGUACCAAUUGGGUAGAUUUGUGACGAUGAUGAGGAAGAGGAUAUGAUGAUUCCCCAACAAUUUGGCUUCUUUCUGGAAUUAAACCGAUCAGCAAUUCCAGGCUUAAACGAGAGGGGAACAUAUGGUGGUGGUUAAUUUGCACACGAAGUGAUAAUGCAUCGUAUAGGCAUAGCCGUUUGAUUUGAAAACACUUUUCCUUUUAAGUGUUCUAGUUAGCUAGUCCUGUCUGUGCUGAAUAUAAUAAUUAUAAUUUUAAUAAUUUCUGUGUUAGCUGCUUCUGCUCUUUUUCUCGUCUCUCUGCUCACUCACCAUAUUAGCCUUUUUCUUUUGUUUUGAAAUAUUGGUCUAUUGUGUAGCCUCCAAUGCUGGCAAAAUUACAACUUACAGUGGAUCAAAAUGGUCAUCAUUGAGAUUUCUCCAUAGAACAUGUCUCACUCAAUUCAUUAAACCUUUGAUCUGUACUUGUACUGUUUUAGUCGGCAAAGUCACAGAUAGUUCAGUAAUUUAAUAUACCUUCCAGCCUGCAGAUUCAGAAAAACCACAAUUACAGAUUGUUAGACAAUGGACCACAUAGAGAUGACCAUAUUGCCUUUCUCUCGUAUGGAACUUCCAACAACUUAUGAAUGCUUUAAAGCCAUUGGUUGGUGACCCUAGCAAAGGGUUAGGUGAAGCUUUUAUGGAAAAGAUUAACCAUAAUAAGGAUCCUCUCUAAAAUUAACCUCCAGGACUGUAUUAUGGUGAUUCUUGCUUGCUAUGCAACAAAGAAACCUACCUAAUAUCAAUGCAGAACCAGCUUGUGAAGGAAACUAGGGUUUUCUUUUUCCCAAUUAAUUUAGAGACAACCAUGCUGCGGGAAAUGGGAAUUUUUAGACCACCUGCGAGUACUUGCUUCCUAGUGCUGAGAAUCAGUUCAAAAUGAGACUCUCCCUUUUGUUUCUCCCGAAAGAUUUUGAAAUUAGAAACGGUAAAAGCAAUUUCAAGUUAUGGAAAAAGCAAUCGAUCUUGCAUGGCCUUGAAAAAGAAGUGCCCGAUCCCGAUAUUAAUAACUAUAAUAUAUCCCACAAGGCUUCUUUUUUCCCCCUUCAUUUUGUGUAUGACUACUAAAUCCGACAAAAUGGUGAGCUUCAGCGCCAUCAACUUUUCUAGGACUUUUUAGUUGGUGCAUUCACGAGCACUAUGAGUCCAUCCAAUAAACAAGUUCGCCUCUUUUUUUUUUUUUUUUUUUCCUUUUUCAAAAGACAAUGUAAAAGUCAUAUGAGCAUGCCACUUUAUUUGAGAGAUCAAUAUCCUAAUCCUACUGUAACCCACUAAUCUAACAUACAUAUUCUUACUUGUUCCUCGUUCUAUGGCUUUGUUUGUUUGUUUUGUAUUUUUUUCUUCCUAUGUGGAUGAUAAAUAACUUUAAACUGAUUGAACAUGAUGUCCUGCUUUUGCUUGUUUGGAUCUAUACUGUUCUUAAAAUAUGCUUUUUCACUCAUAGUUAUCCUUGCUAUUAAAUUAUUUCCUUUAAUUUAAUAAAUUGUGAUGGACCUGAUGCGUUGUAGUCAAAUGAUGUGGAUUGUGGAAUUUGUAAUUGUCUGAUUUAAUUAUACUUCUUCCCUAGUUUUUUACUUGGAGAAAUAUUAAAUUGAAAAAGUUAGAUUUCAUUGUGCUUCGUGAUGUGCAAGAGUGGAAGAUCGGUGAAAAGAGUUAAACGACAGAGAGGCAAUAAAUUAAUAGACAAUCCUCUUGAUCUUGCUGUCUUAGCAGUGCCACUUUUGUCUUGUGGCUACCAACUAUCACAUUUUAAAAUUAUAAAAAAAUUGUAGCCCUUGAUGAGCUUUAAGCUUAUCACGUUGCAUUGCCAUUGAUCGAUCUAGCUAUCUAGAACAAGUGUUCAAUAUUAAUUGGAUUAUAAACUCCGAACAACAGCCCCCAAAUAAUGCUAUGAUGAAUUCAUUGAUCUUCUGGCCAAGAUUUCCUUUUCAGGGAAUAUGAAAACCAGAUGCAAGCAUGUCUAUAUGUUUCCAGCAUUUAUUGAGUGUGUAUAUAUAUACUUUUCUGCUUUUGUAUAUAUGCAGUCACAGUUAAUUAAUAAUUAAUCUCUCUUAAUUAAUUCCACACACUCAGUAAAUUUUUUCUUUUGGUAAUAUUUUCAAUCGUUAUGCUAUUAUCCCUUGGCAAACAAAAUGAAAGAAAGAAUAUAAGAAAUUAAUUGCCAUAUAGUUUCUUGGUAUGCCAGGUUAAAUGCACAUACAGCCUGAGGCAUAAUACACAAGUUGAAACUUAUACUUGAAUAUACUCAUCAUGAUUGUUCUGUUCAUGUGUACGAUUUCUAAUUUCCCAUCAUGGGUCAACAUAGUUUCCUUUUAUUGUUAUUUUGGCACUUUCACAUCAGAAAGGGGGAAGGUGUUAUUAUUUUCAUUGGGCGUCCUCUAUUUGUUUGGGUGGCUCAUCACCGAGUUACUUACGUCAAUAGCAUACCCUACCAUUGAUGGUGGGCAUGUAUGUAUUGUUAUUGUUGUCAUUUCAUUACUCAUUUAUUCAUGUCACUGUAAAAUAAGACUCUUUUUUUUUAAUCAUCUUUCACGGGGCGUGUAAUGUGAAUACAGAGCCAAUCCAAUUCUAACGGAUCCUGCCGACAUUAUGCUUAAUAUGACAAUCCUACAUACUUGAUUGGAACUUGUUUUAUCUUCUAAUGAAUAUGAGGCUCACAAUUGAUCAUCAUCAUCAUCAACAAGAGAAAAAUAUCCAAUACACGAUGCCCUUUAUUGGUUGUAUAUAUAUAGUGUUACUUAUCAAAGGAUUCUGGCUUGUGAAAUGGAUGUAAAUUUCCUCAAGCAGCUCUUGCUCGAAUUAGUAGAAUGGCCACUGGUUUAAGCUGACACUUUGCCCUUGCUUGCUUGGUACUACCUACUCUUGCACUUGAAAUUCAACCAUGUAAACAUCUUACCUGCCUCUCCCAUUAUAAGUUCCUUGAUGUUGAUUGGAGUACAAAAUACGUACAAAAAUGAUUUUGGUUGAUAAAGAGAAAAUUGUAUAGGUACAAACAUUUUGGUUGAAAAGUUAUGCAAGUGAGAGAGAGGAAGAUAAGAAAGGAGUAUGGAAAAAGAUGGUUGAUGUGAUGGAAAAUGAUAAAAAGAAUUAUAAAAAAUAUUGUACAAGUUUGUUGUAUGAAUAAUAAGUGAUCUCAUCUAUAUA